rnacentral:rRNA from 1 species
UACGGAGGGGGCUAGCGUUGUUCGGAAUUACUGGGCGUAAAGCGCACGUAGGCGGCGACUCAAGUCAGAGGUGAAAGCCCGGGGCUCAACCCCGGAACUGCCUUUGAAACUAGGUUGCUAGAAUCGUGGAGAGGUGAGUGGAAUUCCGAGUGUAGAGGUGAAAUUCGUAGAUAUUCGGAAGAACACCAGUGGCGAAGGCGACUUACUGGACACAUAUUGACGCUGAGGCACGAAAGCGUGGGGAGCAAACAGG